AUACGGAGGGUGCAAACGUUGUUCGGAAUUACUGGGCGUAAAGCGCGCGUAGGCGGUUUGUUAAGUCAGAUGUGAAAGCCCAAGGCUCAACCUUGGACGUGCAUUUGAAACUGGCAGACUUGAGUACUGGAGGGGAUGGUGGAAUUCCCGGUGUAGAGGAGAAAUUCGUAGAUAUCGGGAGGAAUACCGGUGGCGAAGGCGACCAUCUGGCCAGAUACUGACGCUGAGGUGCGAAAGCAUGGGGAGCAAACAGGAUUAGAAACCCUAGUAGUCC
rnacentral:rRNA from 1 species